rnacentral:rRNA from 1 species
GACGAACGCUGGCGGUGUGCUUAACACAUGCAAGUCGAACGGUAAGGCCCUUUCGGGGGUACACGAGUGGCGAACGGGUGAGUAACACGUGAGUAACCUGCCCUCAUCUCUGGGAUAACAGUCGGAAACGGUUGCUAAUACUGGAUAUGAGCUUGCAAGGCAUCUUGUGGGUUGGAAAGAUUUUUUUGGUUGGGGAUGGACUCGCGGCCUAUCAGCUUGUUGGUGAGGUAGUGGCUCACCAAGGCUUCGACGGGUAGCCGGCCUGAGAGGGCGACCGGCCACAUUGGGACUGAGAUACGGCCCAAACUCCUACGGGAGGCAGCAGUGGGGAAUAUUGCACAAUGGACGGAAGUCUGAUGCAGCAACGCCGCGUGCGGGAUGACGGCCUUCGAGUUGUAAACCGCUUUCAAUUGUGACGAAGCUUUUUGUGACGGUAGCAGUAGAAGAAGCACCGGCUAACUACGUG